UAAAACUCAAAGGAAUAGACGGGGACCCGCACAAGCGGUGGAGCAUGUGGUUCAAUUCGACAAUAAACGAGGAACCUCACCAAGGUUUGACAUCUAGCUGCAGACCCCGAGAAAUCGGGGAGCCUUCGAGGGUGCUAGACAGAUGCUGCAUGGUUGUCGUCAGCUCGUGUUGUGAAAUGUACCGUUAAUUCGGGAAACGAGCGCAACCCCUAUCCUAUGUUUCAUGUGUCAUAGGAAACUGCCCGCUUUAAGUGGGAGGAAGGUGGGGAUGACGUCAAAUCAGCAUGGUUCUUAUAUCUUGGGCGACACACGUGCUACAAUGGGAAGUACAAAGGGACGCCAAGCCGUAAGGUGGAGCAAAUCCUCCAAAACUUUUCUCAGUUCGGAUUGAGGUCUGCAACUCGACCUCAUGAAGCCGGAAUCGCUAGUAAACGCGGAUCAGCUAUGCCGCGUUGAAUACGUUCUCGGGUCUUGUACUCACCGCCCGUCACACCAAGAGAGCCGAUAAUGCCCGAAGCGCCUCCUUAGAGGCACAAAGGCAGGAUUGGUAAUAAGGGUGAAGUCGUAACAAGGCAUCCGUAGCGGAAGCUGUGGAUGGAUCACCUCCUUUCUAGGGAG
rnacentral:rRNA from 1 species